UACAAUCUGGCAGAGUAAAUGCACUCAACUUAAGCUUGAGGUAUAAGUGUAUAAACUUGGUUGUGU
rnacentral:tRNA from 1 species